UACGAAGGGGGCUAGCGUUGCUCGGAAUCACUGGGCGUAAAGCGCACGUAGGCGGGUUCUUAAGUCAGGGGUGAAAUCCUGGAGCUCAACUCCAGAACUGCCUUUGAUACUGGGAAUCUCGAGUCCGGGGAGAGGUGAGUGGAACUGCGAGUGUAGAGGUGAAAUUCGUAGAUAUUCGCAAGAACACCAGUGGCGAAGGCGGCUCACUGGCCCGGUACUGGACGCUGACGGUGCGAAAGCGUGGGGAGCAAACAGG
rnacentral:rRNA from 1 species